GGGAAGGCUUAGAGGUAGGGUUAGAGUAGGGUUAGGGUAGGGCUAGGGUUAGAGGUAGGGUUAGGGUAGGGUUAGUGGUAGGGUUAGGAGUAGGAGUAGGGUUAUGGUAGGCUUAGGGGUAGAGUUGAGUUAGGAGCAGGGUUAGGAGUAGGGUUUUGGUAGGGUUAAAGGUAAGGUUAGGAUUAGCAUAGGGUUAGUGGUAGGGUAGGGGUAGGGUAGGGUUAGAG